AGUCAUAUGCUUGUCUCAAAGAUUAAGCCAUGCAUGUCUAAGUAUAAAUAACUUUAUAUUGUGAAACUGCGAAUGGCUCAUUAAAUCAGUUAUGAUCUACGUGACAAAUUCUUUACUACUUGGAUAACCGUGGUAAUUCUAGAGCUAAUACAUGCAAAAAAGCCCUGACUUACGAAGGGGUGCACUUAUUAGAUAAAACCAACGCGGGGUAAAACCUGUUUCUUGGUGAAUCAUAAUAAUUAAGCGGAUCGCAUGGCCUUGUGCCGGCGACGGUCCACUCGAUUUUCUGCCCUAUCAUGGUUGAGAUUGUAAGAUAGAGGCUUACAAUGCCUACAACGGGUAACGGGGAAUUAGGGUUCGAUUCCGGAGAGGGAGCCUGAGAAACGGCUACCACAUCCAAGGAAGGCAGCAGGCGCGCAAAUUACCCAAUCCCGACACGGGGAGGUAGUGACAAUACAUAACAAUGCAGGGCCUUUAAGGUCUUGCAAUUGGAAUGAGUACAAUUUAAAUCCCUUAACGAGGAUCAAUUGGAGGGCAAGUCUGGUGCCAGCAGCCGCGGUAAUUCCAGCUCCAAUAGCGUAUAUUAAAGUUGUUGCAGUUAAAACGUCCGUAGUC
rnacentral:rRNA from 2 species